rnacentral:lncRNA from 1 species
AGUUUUUACAUAACUACGCAGUUACUUCCCUUCGGACCAACACGAUCGAAUUUACUACAGUGUUUUUUUAACAAUCCAGCUACAAUCCUCGCAAUUUGAAGCAGUAUAUCUGUUAGCAUGCCUGAUGUUGACUGGGGAGGUAUAUGUGCACUCAUGCAGAAGAAGUAGAAGUUUUCACAUCCAAUUUGGCAUUUAGAGAAGCUGAUCUGAAGUCCGGUGUUGGCAGUGUGUGAUUGACAACCCUUGUUUUGCCUCGCUGCGCUCUAUUACCUUGUAGAAAUUGUGGAACUUGGACAUGUUCUACUACACCAAAUCAGAACCAGUUGGGACACUGGGUUUUCGUAGGGAGCC